rfam:Gossypium hirsutum cultivar TM-1 unplaced genomic scaffold scaffold3045.1, whole genome shotgun sequence
UAUUAAAAAUUUCAUCAAUUUCUACGGUUAAAAACUAGUGUAGCUAACAAAAUAACCAAACAAUUACAUGUGGUGUGCCACAUGUACCUCAUGCAGACAUACAAGGACCAACUUUUAAUAGUAGAAAUGGAUGGAAUUUCUUAACA